rnacentral:rRNA from 1 species
UCCGUAGGUGGAUAAUUAAGUCAGAGGUGAAAGUCUGCAGCUCAACUGUAGAAUUGCCUUUGAUACUGGUUAUCUUGAGUUAUUAUGAAGUAGUUAGAAUAUGUAGUGUAGCGGUGAAAUGCAUAGAUAUUACAUAGAAUACCAAUUGCGAAGGGCAGAUUACUAAUAAUAUACUGACACUGAUGGACGAAAGCGUGGGGAGCGAACA